rnacentral:rRNA from 1 species
GAUGAACGCUGGCGGCGUGCCUAAUACAUGCAAGUCGAGCGAACAGACGAGGAGCUUGCUCCUCUGACGUUAGCGGCGGACGGGUGAGUAACACGUGGAUAACCUACCUAUCAGACUGGGAUAACUUCGGGAAACCGGAUCUAAUACCGUAUAAUAUCUUGAACCGCAUUGUUCAAUAGUGAAAGACGGUUUUGCUGUCACUUCUAGAUGGAUCCGCGCCGCAUUAGCUAGUUGGUAAGGUAACGGCUUACCAAGGCAACGAUGCGUAGCCGACCUGAGAGAGUGAUAGGCCACAUGGGAGGGGAGACGGGGUCAAGACGCCUAAGGGAGGCAGCAGUAGGGAAUCUUCCGCAAUGGGCGAAAGCCUGACGGAGCAACGCCGCGUAAGUGAUGAAGGUCUUCGGAUCGUAAAACUCUGUUAUUAGGGAAGAACAAAUGUGUAAGUAACUAUGCACGUCUUGACGGUACCUAAUCAGAAAGCCACGGCUAACUACGUG